AUCAGGACAGAGAGGAGGGAGUCCCUCCCUCUAAAACCACUCAGAGGAACCAGUCUGGACCUGGACCUGGACCUGGACUUGGAGCUGAGCCCAGCUGUUUGUCCUUCAAGAGCGACCGGUCGAAGAAUAUUCCUCUUGAUUUUCAAUCAGAGCCACAGAGAGUGGACCAGCAGAGCUCAGAGCU